UACGUAGGCAGCGAGCGUUGUUCGGAAUUACUGGGCGUAAAGAGUGUGUAGGCGGUGCUCUAAGUUCGGUGUGAAAUCUCCCGGCUUAACUGGGAGGGUGCGCCGGAAACUGGAGUGCUCGAGCGUGGGAGAGGAAAGCGGAAUUCCUGGUGUAGCGGUGAAAUGCGUAGAUAUCAGGAGGAACACCUGUGGUGUAGACGGCUUUCUGGACCAUAGCUGACGCUGAGGCACGAAAGCUAGGGGAGCAAACAGG
rnacentral:rRNA from 1 species